UGAGAUGUAUCUCAGUUGGUAAAGUGCCUGCCUUGCAUGCACAAGGCCCUGGGUUCAAUCCCCAGGACCACAA
rnacentral:tRNA from 1 species